rnacentral:rRNA from 1 species
UACGUAGGGUGCAAGCGUUGUCCGGAAUUAUUGGGCGUAAAGAGCUCGUAGGCGGUCUGUUGCGUCGGCUGUGAAAACCCGGGGCUCAACUCCGGGCCUGCAGUCGAUACGGGCUGGCUUGAGUGCGGUAGGGGAGACUGGAAUUCCUGGUGUAGCGGUGGAAAUGCGCAGAUAUCAGGAGGAACACCGGUGGCGAAGGCGGGUCUCUGGGCCGGUAUUGACGCUGAGGCGCGAAAGCCAGGGGAGCAAACGGG